UUCUUCCCAGGACUCGGACUGGUGAAAAGGAAAGGGGCUAAAAACUAGAAGAGUCACAUGAUUGGAUUGGGACCAAGUGGCCUGGAGCUCUUCAAGUUUGUUCCAAAGUGGCCUGACACUAGCUUGUCCAGCUUGGAGUGGGAGGUGUCAGCCAUCCAAGCCUGCUCACCUAGGGACACCUGCUUCUGCAAACCCAGGCGAAAACGACCCCUGCCACCAGUAGUACAGCAAGGAUGAUGAAAAUGGCCACAGUUUUCUUCUGGCUGUGGUUCUCCUGUGGAUCCUCUGUGAUCUUGUAAUUGUUUCCAGAGUAAUUUUCUGCAGGAAAGCGGAAAUGGGAUGGGUAUGUGGCUCAGUGGGUACAAUGCUUGCUUAGCAUACAUUAAGGCCUGGGUUCAAUCUCAGCACCACAUAAAUUGUGUGUGGCAGAACACACCUGUAAUCCCAGCACUCCAGUGGUGGAGGAAGAGGACCAGUUCAAUGUCACCUUAGCUACACAGUGAGUUUGAGACUAACCUAGGCUACAUGAAACCCUGUCUAAGGAAAAGAAAUGUGGCCAGGUAGUUGUGGCUCACACCUUUAAUCCCAACACUGGAAGGCAGAGGCCAGCCUGGUCUACAGAGCGAGUUCUAGGAUGGCCAGAGCUACACAGAGAACCCUGUUUCAAACCUCCCUACCCAUCCACUCCCCCCACAAAAGAAAAAGGAAAUGAGAAAAUCCCCAAGACUUAAAGGACCUUGAUGGGGAGGUCUUUUCCAUGGAAAGGAAGAGGCAGCAGAUUUUUAAAAACUUCGCUGCCAUCACGGUGUGAGCUUUAAAACCUCAGGCUGCUACAGGGGUGCUCUUUCAAGUGAGGGUCCCUGUGCUUUUUAGGAAGGAUUAGAAAAGAAUUUUAAGGAAGGGAUAGUGGGAAUUCAUUUCCACCAAUAGUUUCAAAAUCUUAGGGCGUGGCUUUGGACGUGAUCCCUUAGAAGGAAGAGGAAGGGUCGUACUCGUGAGCACUCUCUCUCUCGGGGUGACAGGCUGAGACCUGACUAUCAUCCUGCAUUGCGGCAUCCUGUGCCCCCACGUAGUGUGUGAGUGUCCC
rnacentral:lncRNA from 1 species